AAAAAGGUUUCAUCAAAGACACACAGACAGCUCCUGAAGUAAAGGACCUACACAGGACCUUCAUAUCAAGGACAUUGACUGUGUGGAUCUCGAGGUGCAGUUACCCAAAAGUUGCUACCCACGGAAUACCAGGUUUUGAGGGAUCCUGCCAGAGCAGAGAAUCAACAGAUACAUUGAAGAGGAGACUCCGACAUGACCGCCGGCAUCUUGUGUUAUUCACCCCCACCACUUGUAAUACUGAAUGCCUGAAUUGUUGUUUGCUGCUCAGACUUUGUCAACAGAUAUGGUCUUCGACAUGUUACCCUUAGGUGUGGAAACAGAUUGUGACAGUCCAGCAAAAUGAGCCAGACAGAUAGUAACACUGAAAAAGGACAACGUUGUUCCCAUGGCCUCCCACUGCAGAAGACUACAGACGUUCAGUGAAGCACAAACAGCUGUUCCUCUCGUACUUAAUAAUUUAGUCAGCUGGAUUCUAGGUGCCACUAAGGAGCCAACAGUGGAUAAUUUUGUCAACAUUUCAAUGGCAUACAUUAAAAGGGCAGCCUGUAAUUGUUUGCCUUGCCUCCAUCUUCCUUGCCACCAAGGGUUGUAGACCGAUGCCCUAGUCCUCCUGUUUAGGUACAACCAUGCAGUUAGGCCAGUCUAUUGAAGCAUAUACUUAUGACUGUUUGUAUGUGUUGUGUAUCUAGUAAUGGAUAAAUUACCACAUGAAUAACUGCAUAUUCAUUAUAUUGAUAAUUAUAAUGGCUUCCAUUAUUGAUUAAAAAGGGAUCUACCACCACUUGCAUUAUUGUUUUGUUAUAAAUGAAGCACUGUUAGGAAUCCAGGAAGACGGAUGC